ensembl:lncRNA
UAUCAAUUUUUUCCUAUGUUGAGAAAAUCUUUUCCAUAUCUAUAAUUAGGCAUAUUUCUGGUUCUGAAUGUUAUGUAGUUUGCUGUUUCUCUUAUUUCUUCACUGUCAUUCCUGGAGAUCUGUACAUUUUAUUGGUAUUUUAAAAAAGUUUUAAUUUUACUGAUCAAGUCUACUCUGUUCUAUUUUGUUUUUGCUUUCAUAUACUAUGCUAUUACUACCUAUGUUCAGAGGGAAAAUAUUUUCGUAUAUUAUUAGUGAGAUUUUGAUGGUUAAAAUUUUAAUUUUUCAGGUAUUUGAUGAAUUUGAAAGAGAUACUUUAUUCCUCUUCGAAAGCCUGUUCUGCGUGCUACUGAACUCUCAGUUCAUCCGUGUGGAGCAGGAGUCGACGGUCCACAGGGGCAGCAGCCAGAGGCAGGAAUGGACUGGCCUCCGCCUCAGUUAUUCCACCUCCUGAUUCACCUCUGAUUACCGAGUUUGGGCUCUGUUGUCAGUGAGCGCCGUCUCUCCUGAAACCUCUGAGAAACUAGAGGGGCUUCUACCACCUGGCUGUGUAAAAAGCACAAAGGGGUUAAUGGAGAAUGACCAAAAGGACCACACCACGAGAGGGAGCCUUGCCCGGGUGUGACUGAGCAGGGAGCACAGAGGACUCCUCUCACAUGACGCCCAGCCCCAGAUAAGCCAUGUGCCCAUUGCAUGGACCGGUAAACUAAGGUUCAUUAACUCCACCAUCAGGUACAGGUUGAGGAUUCCCAAUCCAAAAAUCCAAAAUCUGAAAUGUUCCAGAUGUGCCCAGGUGGAUGUCUGUCUGAUUUUCCUUGGCUGCCCUUCCCUUUUCCCCACCCUGCCUCGCCGGUUCCCUCUGGGGUUCUGCACCAUCCCCCUCCACAUCAUCACUGCUAGAAUGUGAACCUCAAAAGCAAAACCUUGGACAAAUGCUACCAUGUUCUACAAAUCUUAUAAAAAUGUUUUAGCCUGUGUUUUCAAAUAGGUACACGUACAUGCAAUUUCUAAAAGUAUACAAAGGGUCAGAGCGGCAAGUCUCAUUCCCAGCAGUCUCCCUGCUACCUUGAGGCACACCCUGUCCACAGCUUCAUGUGUUGACUUCCAAAGGGGUUCUAUAGAUUUAUAAUAUUGAGCCCUGUAUAAUUUCCACUAUUGGAGAAGUUUUGACCUAAAAAAAAAGAAAAAAAGAGUAACCUCAUGUGGAUUGACCUAAUUUAAGCAUAUUCUUAUAAACCUGAAUCAUAAUUAUUUGAAUAACAGGUUUUAGAAUCAAUUGCAGGAAUAAUUAUUCAUCUCUCUCAUUAGGGAUCUGGCUAGGGAAACUAUUUGCUUUCCAGUUUAUUCCCAUCCUUCCUCUGUUUUCUUUUUCCUCCCUCACAGGUGGGGUGGGGUUGGAUGACCCCUGCCAACAAGGUUUUCCAUGCUCCCUUGACAACUGCCUUCCAUGUGGAUGUGGCCAUCGGUCACCCCUUACCAAUGACAGGUGGGACACUGGGGAUGAGGAAGAGGGGGAAGGCAGGGUAUCCCCUGCACCCCCCCAUCCCUGGAGCAUCUUUGGUCGUGUCUGCAUCUUCUCUAUAGCUCAGCUCCCACCAGGCAGCUUGAGCAGCUGUUCUAGCCCCCAGGGGCUCCUCAGCUGCAAGGAUCCUUCAAGGUUUUGGCUCCUGCUGGGGAUCCCGGCUCUCAGGAUUUGGAAAAGACGUUUCCUCCCAUGACCUUCCAACCCGCGGUGGUGGAGGCUCUCUAGUUGCCCAUCUUUGGGCUUCCUCACCUACAUUUGCCUUUUCAGCUUUUCUAACACCUCUGUUACCGGUUCCUUGUUUUAAAUUCCUCUUUGUAAGAAUUCUGUUUUCUUUACUGGCCCUUAACGGACACACUCCAUUAUUGCUCAGAAUCUAUACUUCCCUUCUCCAAAGAAUGGCAUCUGGUCUUGAAGCCUGGAAUCCUUGGCUUCCUUGCUCUCACUCAUCCAAGAAAUCACCAAGUCCUGUAAUUCUAUUUCUGAGUAUCUUUUGAACCCGCACCCUUCUCUCCUCCCCAAAUCCCCUACCUUAGUUCAAGCCUCAUGUCCUCCCUCCAGCCCAGCCUCCCAGCUUCCAGUCGUGGCUCCUCGUGCUUCACUUUCUACUCGAUGGCCAGAGGGAGCGUUCUAACAUGAAAUCUGUUCAUGCCACUCUCUGGCUUCAAACAUAUCCACAGCUUCCAUGUCCUUCUGAUGACAUCCAAAGUCCUUUCCAUGCGGUGGUUCUGCUUGCCCCUCAGAUCUAAUCUCAUGCCUCUCUUCUUUUGCUACCCUCUGCCCGAUGAGAGCCAGACAUAAAAACAAAACAAAGCAAAACAAAAAACAGAUUCCUGUUUGCAUCAGUUGUCUUUUAGCCCCUCCCUUUUUUUUUUUUUUUUUUGAGAUGGAGUCUUGUUGUGUCGCCCAGGCUGGAGUUCAGUGGCGUGAUCUCAGCUCACUGCAAACUCUGCCUCCUGGUUCAAGCUAUCCUCCUGCCUCAGC